AUUGAACGCUGGCGGCAGGCCUAACACAUGCAAGUCGAGGGGCAGCAUGAUUGUAGCAAUACAAUUGAUGGCGACCGGCAAACGGGUGCGGAACACGUACACAACCUCCCAAUAAGUGGGGAAUAGCCCAGAGAAAUUUGGAUUAAUACCCCGUAACAUAACGAUGUGGCAUCACAUUGUUAUUAUAGAUUUUUCGCUUAUUGAUGGGUGUGCGGCUGAUUAGAUAGUUGGCGGGGUAACGGCCCACCAAGUCUACGAUCAGUAGCUGAUGUGAGAGCAAGAUCCGCCACACGGGCACUGAGACACGGGCCCGACUCCUACGGGAGGCAGCAGUAAGGAAUAUUGGACAAUGGACGCAAGUCUGAUCCAGCCAUGCCGCGUGAAGGAUUAAGGUCCUCUGGAUUGUAAACUUCUUUUAUAAGGGACGAAAAAAGGCUUUUCUAAGUCGUCUGACGGCACCUUAUGAAUAAGCACCGGCUAACUCCGUGCCAGCCGCCGCAGUAAUAC
rnacentral:rRNA from 1 species